rnacentral:rRNA from 1 species
GAUGAGCCUAAGUCAGAUUAGCUAGUUGGUGGGGUAAAGGCCUACCAAGGCGACGAUCUGUAGCGGGUCUGAGAGGAUGAUCCGCCACACUGGGACUGAGACACGGCCCAGACUCCUACGGGAGGCAGCAGUGGGGAAUAUUGGACAAUGGGGGGAACCCUGAUCCAGCCAUGCCGCGUGUGUGAAGAAGGCCUUUUGGUUGUAAAGCACUUUAAGCGAGGAGGAGGCUACUUGGAUUAAUACUCUAGGAUAGUGGACGUUACUCGCAGAAUAAGCACCGGCUAACUCUGUGCCAGCAGCCGCGGUAAUACAGAGGGUGCGAGCGUUAAUCGGAUUUACUGGGCGUAAAGCGUGCGUAGGCGGCUUUUUAAGUCGGAUGUGAAAUCCCUGAGCUUAACUUAGGAAUUGCAUUCGAUACUGGGAAGCUAGAGUAUGGGAGAGGAUGGUAGAAUUCCAGGUGUAGCGGUGAAAUGCGUAGAGAUCUGGAGGAAUACCGAUGGCGAAGGCAGCCAUCUGGCCUAAUACUGACGCUGAGGUACGAAAGCAUGGGGAGCAAACAGGAUUAGAUACCCUGGUAGUCCAUGCCGUAAA